UUGGAUAAGAAUUGAUUUAUGUUUGGAUGCACUUUACUAAAAGUAAUUCUUAUAAGUUAAUGUUGUUGGAUAG
rnacentral:pre_miRNA from 1 species